UACUGCAUCUUCUUGAGCCAAUUGUCUGUUGAUGGGUUGCUCUGGUGUCUUGGCUAUUAUAAAGAGUACUGCCAUGAACUUUGACCACCUCAACCCCCCUUUCUUUCUAGCUUGAAUGUCUCCCAGACAAUAUCCUCCCCUGGGAAUUAACGUUUAGAGUGGAUGGAUAAUCUGCCCUAAGGAGCAGAAAAAGCUGAUGGUAAACUAAAAAGAGACCUUACUCAUAUUUUCAGUAUCCCAUGUAUGGAGCCUCUCAGCCUCUCUAUCAGUGUUUCUGUGGUACUGAUAAGGAUGAGCCAUGUGGAUAAAGAAAGAAACAAUGGAAAAUAUAGUGAUGACCAUUUAUUAAACAUCUGCCCUAUGUCAGAUAUGAUACUAAGUUCCUUACUAAACCUUGUCUUAUUGAAAUCUCACAGCAACCUUCUAAGCUGCUUCCUAUUUACUCCCAUUUUGAAAAUUAGGAAACUGAGACCCGGAGAAGGAAACUCGCUUACUGAAAAAAAAAUCACACAAUUGUUUAACUGCAAAGCCAAUGUGUUUUCCACAACUACAGCACAUGGGCCUAAUGUGGUGUCUGCGUAAACACUAGUGGACGCGGGCUGCAAGCCCAGACUUGAUCAACCUGCCUUGAACGUGCUUGAGGAGCCCUCCAGAUAUGGAGCCGCAGGGAUGACUGUAUGGCCGGGUGUACCCUGGAGCCCCCCUCACCAACCAGUGUGGAGAAGGGCCGACUCCCCCUCAGGGUUCUGGAAAGAGAUCAGUCACCUGUAGCUCAAAGAUGUUAAGCACUUUGUGAAGGACCAGAAAGCUGCAAGAUAGAAUAUGUACUUCACCUGAGUGGUUGCAUAGACACUGAUCGUGCAUCCGAAUCUUUAAGAACUCAAGUGGAAAGUGUGCUUACAAAUUUAAAGACCAGAAUUACAAUGCACAGAUUGAAUUGGAAUGACUGCAAGAUUGUUUCAGGACUAUAAGACUUCUAUGUAAAAAGAAGUUAAUAAAAGGCGUAUUAAGGUAAGUCCCUUAUAAUUAUGAUUUUGAACAAACUGCUUUAAAUUAUGCUAUGGCAUGAACUGAUAAAAAAAAAAAGUGAAUAGAGGAAUGUCAGGAUGGUUGGGGCUCAGAGCCCAGAACAACAGCCCAAGGCAGUCAUAAAGAGAAAACUAUGCUUGCCCCUGCAACCAGAAGUCCAGAAAGAAUUAGCUCAGAGACAAAACAGGAAAAGACUUUGUUUCUCAAUGAUUUCAGUAUGCCGAAGGCAAUAGCUAAGAUUGAGACUAAAGAGUAUGGAUGUAAUGGGAACCUACAGAAAUACCACACGGUUGCUCUUGUUACUGUUAUUUUUUAAAAUCUUAGUCUCGGCAUUGUUUGAAAGGUAAUAAACAAGCUGAGUCUAAAUUUCAGGUGGAAAAAUAAGCAGCAAGGAUUUUAAGGGAAAUUCUGACAAAUUCAAUGAUGGGGCACUAGCUUUUUCCCCUAUAUGCCACUAGAAACUGAAACAGUAGUUCUGGAGCAUGAAUGGACACAAAAAGCAAUGGUACAGAAUAGAAUUCAAGAAUAAAAUGUAAAGAUAUGGAGAAAUCAGGGAUGCUGUCCCAAAUUUAUGGGAUAUUUUAUUUCAGAGCCUCUUAAUGUCACUUACUGAUUUAGCAUAUGGCAAAAAAAAAA